rnacentral:rRNA from 1 species
GGACGAACGCUGGCGGCGUGCUUAACACAUGCAAGUCGAGCGAUGAAGCUUCUUCGGAAGUGGAUUAGCGGCGGACGGGUGAGUAACACGUGGGUAACCUGCCUCAUAGAGGGGAAUAGCCUUCCGAAAGGAAGAUUAAUACCGCAUAAGAUUGUAAUAUCGCAUGAUAUAGCAAUUAAAGGAGUAAUCCGCUAUGAGAUGGACCCGCGUCGCAUUAGCUAGUUGGUGAGGUAACGGCUCACCAAGGCGACGAUGCGUAGCCGACCUGAGAGGGUGAUCGGCCACAUUGGGACUGAGACACGGCCCAGACUCCUACGGGAGGCAGCAGUGGGGAAUAUUGCACAAUGGGGGAAACCCUGAUGCAGCAAAACCGCCGCGUGAGUGAUGACGGUCUUCGGAUUGUAAAGCUCUGUCUUCAGGGACGAUAAUGACGGUACCUGAGGAGGAAGCCACGGCUAACUACGUGCCAGCAGCAGC